AUUUGAGUGAGUGGCGGACGGGUGAGUAACACGUGGGUAACCUGCCCUAAAGUGGGGGAUAACAUUUGGAAACAGAUGCUAAUACCGCAUAAAACCUAACACCGCAUGGUGUAGGGUUGAAAGAUGGUUUCGGCUAUCACUUUAGGAUGGACCCGCGGUGCAUUAGUUAGUUGGUGAGGUAAAGGCUCACCAAGACCGUGAUGCAUAGCCGACCUGAGAGGGUAAUCGGCCACACUGGGACUGAGACACGGCCCAGACUCCUACGGGAGGCAGCAGUAGGGAAUCUUCCACAAUGGACGAAAGUCUGAUGGAGCAACGCCGCGUGAGUGAAGAAGGUUUUCGGAUCGUAAAACUCUGUUGUUGGAGAAGAAUGUAUCUGAUAGUAACUGAUCAGGUAGUGACGGUAUCCAACCAGAAAGCCACGGCUAACUACGUGCCAGCAGCCGCGGUAAUACGUAGGUGGCAAGCGUUGUCCGGAUUUAUUGGGCGUAAAGCGAGCGCAGGCGGUUUCUUAAGUCUGAUGUGAAAGCCUUCGGCUCAACCGAAGAAGUGCAUCGGAAACUGGGAAACUUGAGUGCAGAAGAGGACAGUGGAACUCCAUGUGUAGCGGUGAAAUGCGUAGAUAUAUGGAAGAACACCAGUGGCGAAGGCGGCUGUCUGGUCUGUAACUGACGCUGAGGCUCGAAAGCAUGGGUAGCAAACAGGAUUAGAUACCCUGGUAGUCCAUGCCGUAAACGAUGAGUGCUAGGUGUUGGAGGGUUUCCGCCCUUCAGUGCCGCAGCUAACGCAUUAAGCACUCCGCCUGGGGAGUACGACCGCAAGGUUGAAACUCAAAGGAAGUGACGGGGGCCCGCACAAGCGGUGGAGCAUGUGGUUUAAUUCGAAGCAACGCGAAGAACCUUACCAGGUCUUGACAUCCUUUGACCACUCUAGAGAUAGAGCUUUCCCUUCGGGGACAAAGUGACAGGUGGUGCAUGGUUGUCGUCAGCUCGUGUCGUGAGAUGUUGGGUUAAGUCCCGCAACGAGCGCAACCCUUAUUACUAGUUGCCAGCAUUUAGUUGGGCACUCUAGUGAGACUGCCGGUGACAAACCGGAGGAAGGUGGGGACGACGUCAAAUCAUCAUGCCCCUUAUGACCUGGGCUACACACGUGCUACAAUGGAUGGUACAACGAGUUGCGAGACCGCGAGGUUUAGCUAAUCUCUUAAAACCAUUCUCAGUUCGGAUUGUAGGCUGCAACUCGCCUACAUGAAGCCGGAAUCGCUAGUAAUCGCGGAUCAGCAUGCCGCGGUGAAUACGUUCCCGGGCCUUGCACUCACCGCCCGUCA
rnacentral:rRNA from 1 species